UUUUCCAUGAUGAUAAAUGUAUAUCCCAGCUCAUUAUGAGGCCUUUUAUAAGGUCAGGGAAUAGAUUUUUUUCCAACAUUUAUCUGAGCCCACAA